rnacentral:rRNA from 1 species
CCUACGGGGUGCAGCAGUGAGGAAUAUUGGUCAAUGGACGAGAGUCUGAACCAGCCAAGUAGCGUGAAGGAUGACUGCCCUAUGGGUUGUAAACUUCUUUUAUAUGGGAAUAAAACGUUCCACGUGUGGGUUUUUGUAUGUACCAUAUGAAUAAGGAUCGGCUAACUCCGUGCCAGCAGCCGCGGUAAUACGGAGGAUCCGAGCGUUAUCCGGAUUUAUUGGGUUUAAAGGGAGCGUAGGUGGAUUGUUAAGUCAGUUGUGAAAGUUUGCGGCUCAACCGUAAAAUUGCAGUUGAAACUGGAAGUCGAGAGUACAGGAGAGGUGGGCGGAAUGCGUGGUGUAGCGGUGAAAUGCUUAGAGAUCACGAAGAACUCCGAUUGCGAAGGCAGUUCACUGGACUGCAACUGACACUGAGGCUCGAAAGUGUGGGUAUCAAACAGGAUUAGAUACCCCAGUAGUC